UUCGCAAUGCCCGAAAGGGUGACGAUGCGACGCCGCGUGAGCGAAGAAGGCCCUAGGGUUGUAAAGCUCUGUCGAGGGUUAUGAAAUAUAGAUGGGUUAAUACCCCAUUUAUUUGACAAAAGCCCAAAAGGAAGCCACGGCUAACUCUGUGCCAGCAGCCGCGGUAAUACAGAGGUGGCGAGCGUUGUUCGGUAUUAUUGGGCGUAAAGAGCACGUAGGUGGUUUUGUAAGUCAGGUGUGAAAGCCUUCUGUUCAAAGGAAGAACGGCAUCUGAAACUGCAGAUCUUGAGUGUAGGAGGGGAGAGUGGAACUUCUGGUGGAGCGGUGAAAUGCGUAGAUAUCAGAAGGAACGUCGGCGGCGAAAGCGACUCUCUGGCCUAUUACUGACACUGAGUGUGCGAAAGUUAGGGGAGCAAACGGGAUUAGAUACCCCGGUUGUCCUAACCGUAAACGAUGGGCACUAAGUAGAGGGGUUUU
rnacentral:rRNA from 1 species